ACGCCUGAUGGUCGCGGGUACACGACGAAAGGACGUGCCUGAGGAAAGUCCGGGCUCCACAGGGCAGGAUGCCGGCUAACGGCCGGUGAAGGUGACUUCAAGGAAAGUGCAACAGAAAACAACCGCCCGCGCUUCCGGAGGAAAUGCGGGUAAGGAUGAAAAGGCGAGGUAAGAGCUCACCGCCGCGUUGGUAACAACGCGGGCUGUGUAAACCCCAUCCGGAGCAACACCGCACAAGGGACGCAAUGUUUGCCCGACAGUCCCGGAGGUGGCUUAAGGCGCGCGGUAACGCGUUGCCGCAGAUAGAUGACCAUCCACGACAGAACCCGGCUUACGGCG
rnacentral:RNase_P_RNA from 1 species